GUGGGGAAUUUUGGACAAUGGGCGCAAGCCUGAUCCAGCAAUGCCGCGUGCAGGAAGAAGGCCUUCGGGUUGUAAACUGCUUUUGUACGGAACGAAACGGUCCUGGCUAAUAUCCGGGGCUAAUGACGGUACCAUAAGAAUAAGCACCGGCUAACUACGUGCCAGCAGCCGCGGUAAUACGUAGGGUGCGAGCGUUAAUCGGAAUUACUGGGCGUAAAGCGUACGCAGGCGGUGCUGUAAGACAGGCGUGAAAUCCCCGGGCUCAACCUGGGAAUUGCGCUUGUGACUGCAGUGCUGGAGUGCGGCAGAGGGGGAUGGAAUUCCGCGUGUAGCAGUGAAAUGCGUAGAUAUGCGGAGGAACACCGAUGGCGAAGGCAAUCCCCUGGGCCUGCACUGACGCUCAUGCACGAAAGCGUGGGGAGCAAACAGGAUUAGAAACCCCGGUAGUCC
rnacentral:rRNA from 1 species